AUGAAUGGUAGAGCUGCUCAGGACAUCUGGUGCAGCAAGUAAGAAAGUUAGUGAGGGAGAUAGAGAGGGAGAGGAAGCGCUCACAUGCUUUGCUCAGGAUGACUUUUACUCCACCAGGCAAAAGUUUUAAAGUGAAAGAAAAUGUCAGGUUUGGUGCAAAUCUACAGUCUAUGGUGCAAAUGCGUGCCGUGCAAAGUAGAAAGGGAAAGGACGUGCAAAGUUUGCGCAUGAAAGCCAGUGAUGAGGGUGUGCAGUGAAGACUUUCUGAUGAAGAGCAGGAUGGAGACUGACUGACAAACCGGGCUAAGGCUCACUGCAGGAAUGUCAGACUGCUUUCCACAAAAUUCACCAAACCUGACUCCUGAUGAGGAAGACACCUCAGCAAAGCUCAUCGGAUGGGUCCAGUAAUGACCUCAUCAUCAUGAGACCCAGAUGAGGUGGUGCUGCCCGUCACGGCCGGCAGCUGCUGCUUCCUGCCUGAGAAACAGAGAUGGGAGUCGCCUCAGGGAAUCUUUUCUCAAACAGUGAAAGGCUUUGAAGUGGUUUGAGGGUGCAGUAAGUAACGUUUUUUAAUCUGUUUUGUAAAAUAACUUUAUGAUGAAGACACAAGCUGUGAAAACCAGUUGAAAAAUGUAAAAUUAUUAAUAUUUGAUAACAGUCUACAGGCAUCCUUUCAAUGAAAUGGAUGAAAUUAGCAUUGAUAGAAUGUAAAUUAUCAAAGUGUAUGUAUUGAAGUAUAGUGUAUUUUAUUGUGUUCCUGUAUGUGUUGUAUCUUGAUAAUGCACUCUGUCUAUUAUGUCAUUAAUCAAAUAAAUACAUGAAAUCCA